UACGUAGGGGCCUAGCGUUGUCCGGAUUUAUUGGGCGUAAAGAGCUCGUAGGCGGUUUCGGUAAGUGAGUGUGAAAUCUCCAGGCUCAACGUUGGAGGGUCACUCGAUAACUGCCAUGACUAGAGUCGGUAGGGGAGCUGGAAUUCCUGGUGUAGCGGUGAAAUGCGCAGAUAUCAGGAGGAACACCGAUGGCGAAGGCAGGUCUCUGGGCCGAUACUGACGCUGAGGAGCGAAAGCGUGGGGAGCGAACAGG
rnacentral:rRNA from 1 species